rnacentral:rRNA from 1 species
CCUUUAUCUGGGGGAUAGCCCGGAGAAAUCCGGAUUAAUACCGCAUAAAAUCACAGAAUGGCAUUAUUCAAUGAUCAAACAUUAAUGGGAUAGAGAUGGGCAUGCGUGUCAUUAGCUAGUUGGCGGGGUAACGGCCCACCAAGGCGACGAUGACUAGGGGAUCUGAGAGGAUGACCCCCCACACUGGUACUGAGACACGGACCAGACUCCUACGGGAGGCAGCAGUAAGGAAUAUUGGUCAAUGGAGGUGACUCUGAACCAGCCAUGCCGCGUGCAGGAAGACUGCCCUAUGGGUUGUAAACUGCUUUUAUCCGGGAAAAACCACGAUACGUGUAUUGGGCUGAAUGUACCGGAAGAAUAAGGAUC